rnacentral:rRNA from 1 species
GAUGAACGCUGGCGGCGUGCCUAAUACAUGCAAGUCGAGCGAACAGACGAGGAGCUUGCUCCUCUGACGUUAGCGGCGGACGGGUGAGUAACACGUGGAUAACCUACCUAUAAGACUGGGAUAACUUCGGGAAACCGGAGCUAAUACCGGAUAAUAUAUUGAACCGCAUGGUUCAAUAGUGAAAGACGGUUUUGCUGUCACUUAUAGAUGGAUCCGCGCCGCAUUAGCUAGUUGGUAAGGUAACGGCUUACCAAGGCAACGAUGCGUAGCCGACCUGAGAGGGUGAUCGGCCACACUGGAACUGAGACACGGUCCAGACUCCUACGGGAGGCAGCAGUAGGGAAUCUUCCGCAAUAGGCGAAAGCUUGACGGAGCAACGCCGCGUGAGUGAUGAAGGUCUUCGGAUCGUAAAACUCUGUUAUUAGGGAAGAACAAAUGUGUAAGUAACUAUGCACGUCUUGACGGUACCUAAUCAGAAAGCCACGGCUAACUACGUGC